rnacentral:rRNA from 1 species
UACAGAGGUCUCAAGCGUUGUUCGGAAUCACUGGGCGUAAAGGGUGCGUAGGCCGCACGGUAAGUCAGAGGUGAAAUCCCGGAGCUCAACUUCGGAAUUGCCUCCGAUACUGCCGUGCUUGAGGACUGGAGAGGAGUCUGGAAUUCACAGUGGAGCAGUGAAAUGCGUAGAUAUUGUGAGGAAGACCAGUGGCGAAGGCGGGUCUCUGGACAGUUCCUGACGCUGAGGCACGAAGGUCAGGGGAGCAAACGGG